UACAGAGGGGGCAAGCGUUGUUCGGAAUUACUGGGCGUAAAGGGCGCGUAGGCGGCCUGCUAAGUCGAACGUGAAAUCCCUGGGCUCAACCCAGGAACUGCGUCCGAUACUGGUUGGCUUGAAUUCGGGAGAGGGAUGUGGAAUUCCAGGUGUAGCGGUGAAAUGCGUAGAUAUCGGGAGGAACACCAGUGGCGAAAGCGGCUACCUGGCCCAUUCUUGACGCUGAGGCGCGAAAGCUAGGGGAGCAAACGGG
rnacentral:rRNA from 1 species